rnacentral:rRNA from 1 species
AAUUCCAGCUGAUCCUGCUGGCGGGCACUGCUAUUAGGAUUCGGAUAAGACAUGCAAGUCUGAGAGUCUAGCUAUGAUGACUCUGGCGAACGGCUCAGCAACGCGUGGAUAACCUACCCUUUAGAGGGAUUAAUCCCGGGAAACUGGGGCUAAUAUCCCAUAGAUAAGAGCUACUGGAAUGUGUUCUUAUUGAAAGAAUUUGGUUCACGCAUCAAUUUUACUAAAGGAUGGGUCUGCGUCGGACUAGGCAGUUGGUGAGGUAACUGCUCACCAAACCUAAGAUCCGUACGGGCUUUGAGAGAAGCGGCCCGGAGAAGGGAACUGAGAUAAGGUCCCUAGCUCUACGGAGUGCAGCAGUCGCGAAAACUUUACAAUGCACGAAAGUGUGAUAGGGGAAUCCUAAGUGCUAGCUAUGCUAGCUUUUGUUAAGCUCAAAAGGCUUGACGAAUAAGUGGGGGGUAAGAUACGUGCCAGCCGCCGCGGUAAAACGUACUCCACAAGUGGUGCUCUCUUAUAUUGGGCCUAAAACGUUUGUAGCCUGUUUGUUGUGUCCUUGGUGAAAUCUGCUAGCUUAACUAGCUGAAUUGCCAAGGAAACUAACUGACUCGAGAUCGGAAGAGGUUGAAGGAAUUUCAAGGGUAACGGUGAAAUGUUAUGAUCCUUGAAGGACCACCAGUAGCGAAGGCGUUCAACCAGUACGAGUCUGACGGUGAGAAACGAAAGCUGGGGGAGCGACCCGGAUUAGAUACCCGGUUAGUCCCAGCCGUAAACGAUGUGGACUUAGUGUCUCAAUACAGAAAUGUAUUGAGGUGCUGAAGCGAAGGCAUUAAGUCUACUGCCUGGGGAGUAAACUCGCAAG